rnacentral:tRNA from 1 species
UCCCUGGUGGUCUGGUGGUUAGGACUCAGCGCUUUCACUGCUCUAGCCCAGGUUCGAUCCCUGGUAUGGAAA